UGAUAUGAAUAGCAGGCUGUGGACUGAGGAACAAUGGAUCAGUGCCAUGACCGAAGGAUCACAGCAGUCUGUAAUAGAACUAUGGUAUGUGUCUAUAAACCAGGCUGUUCUAAAUGUGUCUGUUCCACUAUAAACCAGGCUGUUCCUCUAUAAACCAGGCUGUUCCACUAUAAACCAGGCUGUUCCACUAUAAACCAGGCUGUUCUAAAUGUGUGUUCCUCUAUAAACCAGACUGUUCUAAAUGUGUCUGUUCCUCUAUAAACCAGGCUGUUCUAAAUGUGUCUGUUCCUCUAUAAAUCCGGCUGUUCCUCUAUAAACCAGACUGUUCUAAAUGUGUCUGUUCCUCUAUAAACCAGGCUGUUCCUCUAUAAACCAGGCUGUGCCUCUAUAAACCAGGCUGUUCUAAAUGUGUGUUCCUCUAUAAACCAGGCUGUUCUAAAUGUGUCUGUUCCUCUAUAAACCAGGCUGUUCCAAAUGUGUCUGUUCCUCUAUAAACCAGACUGUUCUAAAUGUGUCUGUUCCUCUAUAAACCAGGCUGUUAUUAAAUGUGUCUGUUCCUCUAUAAACCAGGCUGUUCUAAAUGUGUCUGUUCCUCUAUAAACCAGGCUGUUAUUAAAUGUGUCUGUUCCUCUAUAAACCAGACUGUUCUAAAUGUGUCUGUGCCUCUAUAAACCAGGCUGUACCUCUAUAAACCAGACUGUUCUAAAUGUGUCUGUUCCUCUAUAAACCAGGCUGUUCCUCUAUAAACCAGGCUGUUCUAAAUGUGUCGGUUCCUCUAUAAACCAGGCUGUUCCUC
rnacentral:lncRNA from 1 species